CUUUCAUUGACAUUACAGGCACACAUCCACAGAGCACUCUUCAAAUCAUCUACACAGUGGUUAUCCAACUAGGAUUAUAAAGGCACACAUUGACAUUGACCACUGUUGCAGUCAACGACACAGUCGCUAUCCAAGUAGCAUUAUAGAGCUGUCAUGCAACGCAACAACUGUGCUAUCUGCCAUCGCACAUCAACGAAGAAGUGCAGCCGCCCACAUUCCACCUCACGUCUGUCCGACCAGCUGCAAUCCUCGAGGACGCCCCACUGUACCACGAUUUCACUACGAUGUUUGACAAGAAGGAGCAGUGCGCGAGAUAGGCUAAUGAGCAGACUUCCCUCGCUUGAGUUUCGGAAGAAUGUUCCAUAUCGCGCUAAGCUGACCACUGCUGACCAUGACAGGCGUGCAUUGGACUGGUACAGGUUGGAACUAAACAUUGAAUAUGCUGGUGGUGACGCUUUCUGAUGAGAAGUUGGUCGUGACUGAUGCAGUAUCCUUGGACUUGUCCACAGCAUCGUUCAAUCAUUG